AGUAAACGGCGGCCGUAACUAUAACGGUCCUAAGGUAGCGAAAUUCCUUGUCGGGCAAGUUCCGACCUGCACGAAUGGCAUAACGAUGGCCACACUGUCUCCUCCUGAGACUCAGUGAAGUUGAAGUGUUUGUGAUGAUGCAAUCUCCCCGCGGCUAGACGGAAAGACCCCAUGAACCUUUACUGUAGCUUUGCAUUGGACUUUGAACCGAUCUGUGUAGGAUAGGCGGGAGCCUGUGAAACCACAACGCCAGUUGUGGUGGAGGCGUCCUUGAAAUACCGCCCUGAUUUGUUUGAGGUUCUAACCUGGGACAGUCAUCCUGUCCGGGGACCGUGCAUGGUAGGCAGUUUGACUGGGGCGGUCUCCUCCUAAAGGGUAACGGAGGAGUGCGAAGGUACGCUAGGUACGGUCGGAAAUCGUGCUGAUAGUGCAAUGGCAAAAGCGUGCUUGACUGCGAGACCGACAAGUCGAGCAGAUACGAAAGUAGGUCAUAGUGAUCCGGUGGCUCUGUAUGGAAGGGCCAUCGCUCAACGGAUAAAAGGUACUCCGGGGAUAACAGGCUGAUACCGCCCAAGAGUUCAUAUCGACGGCGGUGUUUGGCACCUCGAUGUCGGCUCAUCUCAUCCUGGGGCUGUAGCCGGUCCCAAGGGUAUGGCUGUUCGCCAUUUAAAGAGGUACGUGAGCUGGGUUUAAAACGUCGUGAGACAGUUUGGUCCCUAUCUACCGCGGGCGCUGGAAGAUUGACAGGGGCUGCUCCUAGUACGAGAGGACCGGAGUGGACGCACCUCUGGUGUAUCGGUUGUGACGCCAGUCGCAUUGCCGAGUAGCUAUGUGCGGAAGAGAUAACCGCUGAAAGCAUCUAAGCGGGAAACUUGCCUGAAGAUAAGUCUUCCUGGAGGCUAGACCUCCCUAAAGAGUCGUUCGAGACCAGGACGUUGAUAGGAUGGGUGUGUAAGUGCUGUGAGGCACUCAGCUAACCAUUACUAAUUGCUCGUGAAGCUUGAUCCU
rnacentral:rRNA from 1 species